UUUCCGUAGGUGAACCUGCGGAAGGAUCAUUAUUGUAUAACCGAGGUGCGAGGGCUGUCGCUGACCCGAAAGGUCGUGCACGCCCGAGUGCCCUCACACACAUCCAUCUCACCCCUAUUUGCACCACCGCGUGGGUCCCCCUUUGGCUUGUUCGGAGGGGGGCUUACGUUUUCACACAAACUUUGUAUGCAGUGUAGAAUGUAUUUUUUGUUUUUGCGAUCACGCAAUCAAUUCAACUUUCAACAACGGAUCUCUUGGCUCUC
rnacentral:misc_RNA from 1 species